CCAAGUUCGUUUUUGUUUCAGAAAUAAAAAAUAAAAAAAAAAGGGUGGAGAAUAGGAAAUGGGGUGUACGCUAGAGUAAUGGUAUUGGAAUUUGAGAAUCAAAACAUGGGCAACCUCUCAAUCUCCCUUUUCUCUCAGACCAAGUUUCCUCGCUGAAAAUCGCCCCGCCGCGGCGGAGGCGGUGGAGCUUCACCAAAACCACGACUCCUCCCAUCACCACACACCUCUCUCCACACUUUAUUCCUAUCUAACCUUCAUUUUCUCAUAAAACCCAAACUCAUCCCUUCAAUUGAUUAGAGCAUUGAAAAACCCUAAUCCAAUCAAAUCAAAAUUAAAUGCUCAUGACAUAUCGAAUGGGAUGGCAAGCUUAGGGCUAUGAUUCAGUGAUGCAAAGGCUACAUUGUGGUAUCGAAAAAAAAGGAGAAAGGAUGAAUAAAUAAGAGUAUUGUGCACUGACCUACGGAGCAAAUUUUUGAUUUGGUAAAGGUUGUAAGUUGAAGAUGAGGAGCGAAAAAAGAAGACCAGAAGGGAGAUUCCUAGGUGCUCAAGUCAAGAAGAUUUAAUUUUAAACAAGUGAAUCAAAUCUCCAACAGAAUUAAAGAUUCUAAAAUUGGAUGAUUGAGACGAUUUAGGAAACUUGAAUAUUUGUUCCAAGAUUCAAAGAGAUUUAUCUGCAGAAUUUGUUGCAGCUCUCAGCUUGUGGAUCAAGUAAAGAUUUCGAAGCCCAUGGAUUGUUGAAGACUAUUUAAAGAGAACCCUAGACCUAAUGUAACCAAGUCUUUUAUAAUUGAAAAAUUAGGUGAAGGUUAGAGGUCUUAGGUUUUGAGAGUCUCUUGUAUUUUAAGUCACCCAUGUAUCUUUUGAUACAAUGUGGUAGACUGAUUGUUACUUGAUUGUUUGUCAAGUUGUUAUUCUCACUCUUCAAGCUUGUAAGCAUAGAGUUGAGUAUUGGUCUUGGUUGAAGCUUUUAAGUGUUAUCUUAUAAAUUGGGUUGCACUUGAUAUAGUCACUAGGAUUGAGACUGUUAGAUAUCACCGAGGUGAUUUAGGAAGUGAGAUGGUGAUUUCUCAUUUUUAUAUGUCAAUUUCUAGGUAGAAGUUGCACAAGAUAGUGAUUAAGUGAGAAGUUGUAAACUGGGACAGUUUAGGCUUUGAAUUAAUAUUGUCAUAGUGGAUUUCCUUCAUGGCUUGGUAGCUCCCAGAGUAGGUGUUAUUGCACCAAACUGGGUUAAUAA